GACGAACGCUGGCGGCGUGCCUAAUACAUGCAAGUCGAACGCACAGUUUAUACCGUGUCUUGCUACACCAUAGACUGUGAGUUGCGAACGGGUUAGUAACGCGUAAGUAACCUGCCUGGUAGCGUGGGAUAACUAUUGGAAACGAUAGCUAAUACCGUAUAAUAUUAAUUAUUGCAUGAUUAUUUAUUUAAAUGUUCAAUUACACCACUACCAAAUGGACCUGCGGUGUAUUAGCUAAUAGGGUAGGUAACGGCUCACCUAGGGGAAGAUAAAUAGCCGACCUAGGAGGGUGAUAGGCCACACUGGGAGUGAGAGACGGCCCAGACUCCUACGGGAGGAAGGCGUAGGGAAUCUUAGGAAAUGGAAGAAAGGCUGACCGAGCAACGGCGCGUGAGUGAAGAAGGUUUUAGGAUCGUAAAGAUCUGUUGUAAGGGAAGAAAGGGUGUGAGAGUGGAAAGUUCACACUGUGACGGUAUCUUAGCAGAAAGGGACGGCUAACUACGUG
rnacentral:rRNA from 1 species